rnacentral:lncRNA from 10 species
ACACUAGUAGGGGAGUGGGAAGUGAGAUAAGGAAGGGAAGAAUGACUGUAAAGAGUGUCUUUUCUGGCAGAUUACUUCUGUGAGCAACUGGGUCUCUCAGUUCUUUGGGAGCACCCUGGGAAACAGUGUGGCUAUGACUUGGAGCUGCUCACCAGUUCCAGUCAUUCUGUGGUUGAGAGCUGCUCCCUAUGGAUGUUAAUUCUUCUCUAUUUUAGAUUUUCCACAGGUGUGGGCCCCAUUAGCUCUGGCCACCUGAGAAAGCCCUCAGGCAAAGAGUCGCAGGUGAAAGCCAGCAGUUAGAGGUUCACAGAAAUGAGUGCAGAAGCAUCUUCAGUUGGAGAGCCAUUGCCUCUUGCUGUGAAAUAUUUGGGAAUCUUCAGAAACCAUGAAGAAUAACCUGCUAAAGGCCACCAAGUUCUAUUGAACAUCAUGAAUCCUAUGCUCAAGUGAGAUCAGCUCAAGUGAGACCAGAUAUCUGAAGACCUUUUCAUUUUCGCCACCCUCAAAUGAAGGCAUGCAAGUCCUGUUUGUCUCUGCCACUCCUCUAGCUGAUAUGUGCUCCAGAUUUGAAAAUUAAUUUAAGAAGCCAAAUUGUUUCCUGCUUUUCAAAGUUAUACAUAUCGUUACAUAUGUUUAUAUUUAUGUGUACACACAAAUGUAAAGCAAUGAUGCCUCUAUUAAAAUGAUGUU